rnacentral:lncRNA from 1 species
CACUGAGGUGGUUUCAUGAAAGAGGAAGCAGCAAGGCUGGGCCUUGAAGAACGUGAAGGAGUCACCCAGCUAGAGAGGGCAGGAGGGUGUUCCACGAAGUACAAACAUCAUGAACAGAAAGUCAAAGAGUGAAAGUGAAGGGAGGAUUGGGGAGCAGUGAACAGACAAUGUGAGAGAGCUGGGGCACCAUGGAGAAGAGUAAUGAGAGAGACAUCCUGAAGGAAAGACAAUAUGAAGGACUGUCAGUGCCAAAGAAAGGACUUUCAGCCAUAUGCACGCAAUGGGGAGCAAUGCAAGAUUGUCAACCAAGAGACUGAGGUGACCAGAUCUGCUUCACAGCAGCAGCGGCAGCAGUGUACAUGGAAGAUUAGAGGACUGAGAGAGAUGCAUGUCAGGAAAAUCAGCUAAUAGACUCUAAAAUAACUAAGACUUGAGAAAGAUCUGGAUCAAAGCUUUAACAGCAGCAAUAAAGAAAAAAGAAGAGACAUUUCUGUAAUCGGAUCUAGAAAAGUUGAUGACCCCCAGGAUAACAGCCAUGAAAGUGAGAAAAGCAGGACACAAUGGUUUAAGCUUGGAAUCUCAGCCACUCUGAAGUCGCUGAGUGCUGCUACCACAAACAUGAGGAAACUUCUGUUAGGAGUUCAACCUUCAGAGAGGACAGCUGGCAGUGCAAGAUGGUGACAGCGCUGCAAUCAGGAGAAGAAAGUCAUGAGAGUCCUUUGAAACACGUCUGUUUCUCCAGGUUUCCCGCCUCCUUCCACCUUCUGUACAGGACACACCAGUUUCCUC